AGGGGAAGAAAUAAAAGGAAGGGCUCUCUCUGCAGAAAAGGAAAUAUCUCUCAGUGCAGCCCUAGUAAGAGCUAAUGGAAUGAGUCAUCGACAGAGUGGAUUAUUUAAAGCACCAUGCUCAAUUCCUCGUCCACCCGAGCUCUGCCGUGCCGAGCAGCGCACCAAGGCGCUGUGAGCGCUCCGCCCGACCCCCGCCUGCCCCGGGCUUGUUCCCCGCAGCUGCCAUCGGGGUGGGGGACACGCUCUUAAACAGCGGAGACGGGCGUGCAGUGUCGUGGAGAGGCGUUUAAACUCUCGGCUGCCCCUGCUGCCAUUUGGGCGACAAAUGGAGUGAGUGAGGGGCUGCCCCGGCCUCCUGCCCGCAGCCCCCGCCCCGGCAGCGCGGGGUGCGCGGCUUUCUCAGCCGGCGGCAUCUCCCCCCGCUCUGUAUGCACAUGGGUGUGCCUAAUUUUUCACUUGUAUUUACCAAUAAACAGAGAGCUCCCGUGGUUAUUUAUAGCUGGUGCUGUCUGAGACACCUUCCAGGAGAG